rnacentral:tRNA from 1 species
UCCCAGGUGGCUCAGUGGUAAAGAAUCUGCCUGCCAAGCAGGAGACCUGGGUUCGAUCCCUGGGUUGGGAA